rnacentral:lncRNA from 1 species
UUUUAUUAUAAUUUAGAAAAGUGAAGUUCGAAUGGGUAUUCCAUGCCUCACGUGGAAUUUGAACUUUUGAAAUACUAGCCCAUGCAAAAUGUUAGAGCUAACUCUCCUAAAUUAUAGGGUGAGAUCCUAAAGUGUAGGAAGGGAUCCAAAUAUUUAGCAAGGUUAAACCCUAAUCCUCACCAUUAUAAAUAUUUCAUAUGGCUGCAGCGAGAAAGAAAAAAAAAAGGAAAAAGAGG